rnacentral:rRNA from 1 species
ACCUGGUUGAUCCUGCCAGUAGUCAUAUGCUUGUCUAAAAGAUUAAGCCAUGGAAGUCUAAGUAUAAGCUUUUAUACGGGGAAACUGCGAAUGGGUCAUUAAAUCAGUUAUCGUUUAUUUGAUAGUAACUCCUACUCGGAUAACCGUAGUAAUUCUAGAGCUAAUACGUGCGUAAAGUCCCGACUUCUGGAAGGGAUGUACUUAUUAGAUACAAAACCAGUGACUUUCGGGUGAAUUUGGGGAUUCAUAAUAAUUUUUCGGAUCGCAUGGCCUUGCGCCGGGGAUGUUUCAUUCAAAUUUCUGCCCUAUCAACUUUCGAUGGUAGGGUAUUGGGCCUACAUGGUUGUAACGGGUAACGGAGAACUAGGGUUCGAUUCCGGAGAGGGUGCCUGAGAAACGGCAACCACAUCCAAGGAGGGCAGCAGGCGCGCAAAUUACCCAAUCCUGACACAGGGAGGUAGUGACGAGAAAUAACAAUGCUGGGCACUUGUGUCUGGCAAUUGGAAUGAGAACAAUUUAAAUCCCUUAUCGAGGAUCCAUUGGAGGGCAAGUCUGGUGCCAGCAGCCGCGGUAAUUCCAGCUCCAAUGGCGUAUAUUAAAGUUGUUGCAGUUAAAAAGCUCGUAGUUGGAUUUCGGGCGUGUGCGCAUGGUCCGCCGAAAGGUGUGCACUGUGCCUGUGCGCGCUCUCUUUCCGUAGGCUGCGUGUGCCCUUAACUGGGUGCGCGUGAAUGCGGAUCGUUUACUUUGAAUAAAUUAGAGUGUUCAAAGCAGGCUUUCGCUUGGAUACAUUAGCAUGGAAUAAUGGAAUAGGACUUUGGUUCUAUUUUGUUGGUUUCUAGGACCGGAGUAAUGAUUAAUAGGGAUAGUUGGGGGCAUUAAUAUUUAAUUGUCAGAGUGAAAUUCUUGGAUUUAUGAAAGAUUAACUUCUGCGAAAGCAUUUGCCAAGAUGUUUUCAUUAAUCAAGAACGAAAGUUAAGGGAUCGAAGAUGAUUAGAUACCGUCGUAGUCUUACCCAUAAACUAUCCCGACUAGGGAUUGGGGGAUGUUAUUCAUGACCCCCUCACCCCCUUAUGAGAAAUCAAAGUCUUUGGGUUCCGGGGGGAGUAUGGUCCCAAGGCUGAAACUUAAA